UUCUUUUAAGGUUCAUCUGGAACAAUGAAGACUCUUAGACCCAUAUGUUUUCUUGUUUUCUUCAGCUACGUUCAAUGUCAAACUCUUCAGAGAAGUUUACUAGCUGCAGCCUUGCGCCACAUUAAUAGCCCGAAUUAUCUGCAGGAGAACUUAAGGGACAUCACCAGCAUUAUGGUUGCUCAGUUUCUUCAGAAACUAACUUAUGAAGAAGUACAAACCAUAGUUGAAGAGUUGGUAGAUCUCGCAGAGAAGUGCAAGAUCCUCAAGGCACAUGAGUCACCGUCAGAAUGCUCUCACCAAUUGAUGACUACCUUCCUAGAGCACAUUUGUGAUAACCAAGGAAAGGCUGGCAAACAGGAGUUUUCUGACUGUUGCAAUAUAAAUAACAAAGCAAGACUCAAGUGCUUCCUAUUACACAAAAAAGGUGAUGCAGAUUACAGUGAUGUAUUCCAAAUUCCGAAUCCUGAGCGGAUCUGUGAGAUGGACAAAGAGAAUCAAGUGCCAGCGAAGGAGAGGUACAUUUAUGAAACAUCUCGAAAGUAUCCAUUCUUGUAUGGACCCACUAUUCUGACCAUGUCUGCUUGUUAUGAAACCACUAUUCGGUCAUGUUGCCAAGAAGAAAAUAAAACUGAAUGCUUCCAGAUAAAGCUAGAACCCAUCAGAAAAUACAUUAGAGAAAUAUCUUUGAGGCAUCACCAUUUAUGUGAAAUUGGGAUUAAAUUCAACCACAAAGUAGCAAAAGCAGUGGAAUUGGUUCUGCUGACUAAAAAACAACCGAAAGCUAACUUUUCUGAAAUUGCCAGGCUGGCCGUGGAUAUUAAAAAUCUGCAUCAGACGUGUUGUGAAGGAGAUGUAGUCGCAUGCGUACUUGGCAGGAGCCAGAUUAUGAACUACACCUGUUCCAAACAUUCGAUCCUCUCCAGCAAAAUCAGUCCGUGCUGUGCACUGCCGGUACCGUUCCGAGGGGAAUGCAUUAUCAUCUCAGAAAAUGACGAUAAGCCUGAUCUUUCAUUCAUGCCACUCGGCAGGUUUACAGAAGACCGAUCUGUAUGCAAACAAUUCUCCAAUGAGCCAGAUGAUCUCCUGCAAGAGUUUCUUUAUGAAUAUUCAAGAAGACAUUCAGAAUUGGCAGUUCCUGUGAUUUUAAGAGUGGAUACUGUAUAUCAAAAUUUAUUGGCAAAAUGCUGUAAAUUAGAAAAUCCUCUGGAAUGCUAUAGCAAUGGGCAAGAGAUGUUCCGAAGAGUGAUUCGUGAAAGCCAUGAGCGUGUAAAACAUCACUGUGAUUUACAUGAGAAAUUAGGAAAUGCUAACUUCCAUGACAGGCUCAUAAUCCUUUAUACUAAGAAAGCUCCCCAACUAUCUGCUCAAGAGUUGGUUACGUUCACGAAGAACAUGGCAGCCGCUGCCACCAAAUGCUGCCCACUGAGAGAUGAGCAACAGUUUGCCUGCAUGGAGGACUCAGCAAAACUAAUUCUUGGAGCUUUAUGCAGAAGACAUGAGGCAGAGCCUAUCAAUGCUGGUGUGGGCCACUGCUGUGAUGACUCAUAUGCCUUCAGGAAGCCAUGCUUUGAUGAUCUGCAAGUGGAUGGAACUUACAUUUCUCCGCCUUUAUCCUGUGACCAAGUCAUCAACCUUAAAGAGAACUUGUGCAAAGCACAGGAGGAGGAAUUCCAAACUGAAAAACAAAAUAUUUUUACCACGAUUGCACUGGGAUUUUGAGAUGAGAGACGAUACAUUUUAAAAAGACACUGGCGAAUUGUUAUGUCCAGAGAGUAUUUAGAGCGAAAAAAGGAUUGAGAAGCAUGUCACAGGGAUAUGGAGAAAUUGACUGGGGUCCAAACUGAUUGAAAAGUGCCAGUCUCUCUUGGGAAGCAAAUGAUUCCAGAAAAUGUCAACAUAGAGUCUUUGCUGAGAUCUGCCUUUUAUUUUUCAUGACUAAUGAAACCCAUGUCUAAUGUUCAAAAUACAAAUCAACAACAUCAUUUUACAGCCACUUUAUGAGUGGCUCAAGGGUCCUCGCCAGGCUAUACUAAAUCUCCCCUUUUCUACUUAGCAGAGAAAUCUACUUAUCGUAACCCCAAUACAACAAGUUUACAUUCUUCCUUUCUCCCAGAAGCUUUCAGCUUCUCAGAAGCAGGACCAGAAAUAUGAAAUCAAGGGGCCUUUCAACACUUCAGGUAGAUGCAAUGAGCUGCCACAUCUCGCUGGGAACAGGCUGCUGGGUUUCCAGAGUGAAAAAGACCCAAGUGUAGCUUUGAAGUUUCUGUCUAUCCCACUGCUGAAAAUGAUUAUUGAUGCACUGAAUGGAAUGUGCUUUAUAUUGAGUUACCUUUAUAACUGCCUUGACUUUUUUUUUUUUUUUGGAAGAAGUGUGGAACUGGGAAGGUGCUUGGAACCACUAUUCAUUCAUCCAAUAGAUUUUUAGUGGGUGUCUGCCGUGUACGAGGCAUGGUUCUAGGAGCUUGUGACACAUCAGAGGCCAAACAGAACAGAACAAAAUCCUUAUCUUCAUAAAGUUAACCUUCCAGUGGAGCUUGGUGAAAACAUGUCUUUCCUUCUUUUUGUCUCUUUCUCUCACCAUCAGUUAGACUUGAACUAAUCAGGACUUUGCCUCGUGCCUAUGGCAUUGAACACAUUAUGAAAUCAAGAAAAUAUUUAACAUCCUGUUUGCCAAGAGUCUUUGAGUUACUAGCAAAGCUCCAAAAGGUCAGGACUGAGGUGAGCAGUAGGUCCCGUGGGCCGUACAUUGUCUCCUACGUGCCAGAUAAGUCUGCUUUUGCAAUAGCCGGUGUCCUAAGACACAUAGUUAGACUUAACUUCCGGCUUGUAGUUGUCGCUGGCAUGAGAAGUAACAGCUGGCAUGUGCUAUGUGCCAGAUAUUCUUGUAAGUUUUUACCUGGAAAAACUCAAUCGAUCCUCAUCAUGAUCUAAUGAUGAUCUAAUUAUUAACCUUCCCAGUCUACAGACCAAGACAUUGUGCACAGAGAGGUUAAGUAACUUGCUCAAGUAUUCUCAGGUGGCUUGGAACCAGGAUUUGAAUCUAGAUCAUUCAUCUCCAGAAACUGGGCUCUUCACUAGUGCAUUAGUGCUCCUUUGUCAUGUCAAGGAACAUCAUUAUCUGAAAACUCAACGCCAGAGAAAUCUUCCUGAAGCACUCAUUGCAAAUGGUGGCAGUUUUCUCUUCACAGUAUUGAGAAGACAAUGGCUAAUUCCUUCUGUGAACAGUUAACUAAAUAUCUAGUGCUGUCUCUGUUAACCAUUGUCUCUGCAACUUAAAGCCUUAGCCUUGGAAGAAUUCCUCACAUGUUCAUUCAAUUUCUCAUUCUCUCCUAUCCAUCUCAUUCUCUCUCUCAUCUCUCUUUUCCCUGAUAUAGAUUUGUGAAUUCCUUUUUGUAUGUGUGCUCUCUUCUUUAAAUUUUUUAAUUGACCUCUAACCCCCUUUACCCAUUUUUCCCAUCCCUCCACCUUUAACCUUUACCCUAUAUAUGUGAUGCUGACAUUGGAACCCAAUGGGGGCCCUAAUGUUUAUUAACUCAAGCUUUCAGUGAUGAUUUGUAAUAGUAGUCUUCUCCCCAGAAAUCUUGGCAUAUAUGACAUAAUGAACUUAUCAUUUGGACUUACUAUUAUUUUUCCAGAUAAUUUAGUGUAUAAUAAAAACUAAGCAGUAA